CCUACGGGUGGCAGCAGUGAGGAAUAUUGGUCAAUGGACGAGAGUCUGAACCCGCCAAGUAGCGUGAAGGAUGACUGCCCUAUGGGUUGUAAACUUCUUUUAUAUGGGAAUAAAAUGUUCCACGUGUGGGAUUUUGUAUGUACCAUAUGAAUAAGUAUCGGCUAACUCCGUGCCAGCAGCCGCGGUAAUACGGAGGAUCCGAGCGUUAUCCGGAUUUAUUGGGUUUAAAGGGAGCGUAGGUGGAUUGUUAAGUCAGUUGUGAAAGUUUGCGGCUCAACCUUAAAAUUGCAGUUGAAACUGGCAGUCUUGAGUACAGUAGAGGUGGGCGGAAUUCGUGGUGUAGCGGUGAAAUGCUUAGAUAUCACGAAGAACUCCGAUUGCGAAGGCAGUUCACUGGACUGCAACUGACACUGAGGCUCGAAAGUGUGGGUAUCAAACAGGAUUAGAUACCCUUGUAGUC
rnacentral:rRNA from 1 species